UCAAACUUGGUCAUUUAGAGGAAGUAAAAGUCGUAACAAGGUUUCCGUAGGUGAACCUGCGGAAGGAUCAUUAAUAAGGUUGCCUCUGUGCAAUGUCUAUUUAAGGGAGAAAGACUGCCUGUAAAAGGGUGUCAGUCUCCCGCUCCACUCUUUGUGAACCUCCUCAUUGCCUCGGCGGCGUCUUUGCUUAAUCGCAAGCGUAAGUCCGCCGGCCAAACUCUUUAGAAAACUUUAGUCUGAACAAUACAAGUUUAAAAAUUAAAACUUUCAACAACGGAUCUCUUGGUUCUCGCAUCGAUGAAGAACGCAGC
rnacentral:misc_RNA from 1 species